rnacentral:rRNA from 1 species
AUUAAACGCUGGCGGCAUGCCUUACACAUGCAAGUCGAACGGCAGCACGGGGCAACCUGGUGGCGAGUGGCGAACGGGUGAGUAAAGCAUCGGAACGUGCCCUGGAGUGGGGGAUAACGUAGCGAAAGUUACGCUAAUACCGCAUAUUCUGUGAGCAGGAAAGCAGGGGAUCGCAAGACCUUGCGCUCUGGGAGCGGCCGAUGUCGGAUUAGCUAGUUGGUGGGGUAAAGGCCUACCAAGGCGACGAUCCGUAGCGGGUCUGAGAGGAUGAUCCGCCACACUGGGACUGAGACACGGCCCAGACUCCUACGGGAGGCAGCAGUGGGGAAUUUUGGACAAUGGGCGGAAGCCUGAUCCAGCCAUGCCGCGUGAGUGAAGAAGGCCUUCGGGUUGUAAAGCUCUU